UACGUAGGGACCAAGCGUUGUUCGGAUUUACUGGGCGUAAAGGGCGCGUAGGCGGCUUGACAAGUCACUUGUGAAAUCUCCGGGCUUAACUCGGAACGGGCAAGUGAGACUGUUGUGCUAGAGUGCAGAAGGGGCAAUCGGAAUUCUUGGUGUAGCGGUGAAAUGCGUAGAUAUCAAGAGGAACACCUGAGGUGAAGACGGGUUGCUGGGCUGACACUGACGCUGAGGCGCGAAAGCUAGGGUAGCAAACGGG
rnacentral:rRNA from 1 species